UGGGGAAUAUUGCACAAUGGGCGAAAGCCUGAUGCAGCAACGCCGCGUGAGUAAUGAAGGCCUUCGGGUUGUAAAGCUCUGUCUUCUGGGACGAUAAUGACGGUACCAGAGGAGGAAGCCACGGCUAACUACGUGCCAGCAGCCGCGGUAAUACGUAGGUGGCAAGCGUUGUCCGGAUUUACUGGGCGUAAAGGAUGCGUAGGCGGAUACUUAAGUCAGAUGUGAAAAUCCCGGGCUUAACUUGGGAACUGCAUUUGAAACUGGGUAUCUAGAGUGCGGGAGAGGAAAGUGGAAUUCCUAGUGUAGCGGUGAAAUGCGUAGAGAUUAGGAAGAACACCAGUGGCGAAGGCGACUUUCUGGACCGUAACUGACGCUGAGGCAUGAAAGCGUGGGGAGCAAACA
rnacentral:rRNA from 1 species